rnacentral:lncRNA from 1 species
GAAAUUAGAUACAGAUUACACAAGUCGUAACGAGGAAGAAGUACAAAGAUGAACAUUAUUUAAGAGAGAUACAUAGGCAUUAUACUCAUUUCUUAUGUAUUAAAUAGUUUUUGGGUAUGUUUCUAAAGUGCAUUCCAUGUGGUGUUUUUUUUUUAUAAUUUCAGCCACUAUUUGGGGUAUAUUACCAAAACUCCCAAAUUAAAAUUAGGAAUCUCAAUCCCCAAUUUCCAAGAUUUUUUUUUUUCUACGUAUCAUUUAAUAAGUUCCGUACUUAAGUUGCCAAACAAUGGAUUACAUACAUACUAUUGGAAGUAUUGGUGGCUAGGUGGCUGCUAGCCGUGAUUAGCUAUUGGUGGCUGUCCCAUUUACACGUUUGUUUCCCUUAAUUGAGGGUGACUUAAUCUUGUUACUUGUAAUUAGAGUUUCCCUAUAAUUAGGGAUUAAAUCACGAAAAUUAAGGUUGUGGCGUGUUGACCAACAGCUCUUAGACUGGCCAAUGGUUCUUAACCCGGUCAGUGGAUAUUAGCCUUCCCCAACUUAUGCAUAUAUACCUUUGUAAUCUUGUAAAGAAGAUAUAAUUAGAAAACAUAUUCUCCCCAUCAUUUUCCACACAUAUUUUUAACAAUCCUCAGAAGAGGUUAAAGCAAAUCCUCCAUCAUCCAUCCAAACAAGAUAAAGCUAAUCUAGCAACAGCAUGUGUGGUGCUCUAUUUUGCACGACUACAAAAAAGCAAAAAGACGACGGUAAAUCACCGUCGUGUAUUCGGUUUUUCAAUGGUCGUGGAAUCCAUCGUCAUC